rnacentral:tRNA from 1 species
GGGACCGUGGUGUCAAAGGGAACACGCCUGCCUUGCAAGCAGGAAUUCCGGGUUCGAAUCCCGGCGGCUCCACCA